UCAAAGAUGGCCUCUGCUUGCAAGCUAUCGCUGGGAGAUGAGCCUGCGUCCGAUUAGUUAGUUGGCGGGAUAAAAGCCCACCAAGACUCCGAUCGGUAGCCGGCCUGAGAGGGUGUCCGGCCACACUGGGACUGAGAUACGGCCCAGACUCCUACGGGGGGCAGCAGUAGGGAAUAUUGCGCAAUGGCCGCAAGGCUGACGCAGCAACGCCGCGUGGGGGAUGAAGGUUUUCGGAUCGUAAACCCCUGUCGAGAGGGACGAAAGGUCAACUGGCAAACAGCCUUUUGGCUUGACGGUACCUUUAGAGGAAGUUCCGGCUAACUCCGUGCCAGCAGCCGCGGUAAUACGGGGGGAACAAGCGUUGUUCGGAAUUACUGGGUUUAAAGCGCAUGCAGGCGGGAAGGCAAGUCUGGUCGUGAAAUCCUCCGGCUCAACCGGAGAACGGCGCUGGAAACUGCCUUUCUGGAGUACGGAAGAGGAAAGUGGAAUUCCAGGUGUAGCGGUGAAAUGCGUAGAUAUCUGGAAGAACACCGGUGGCGAAGGCGGCUUUCUGGUCCGAUACUGACGCUGAGGCGCGAAAGCGUGGGGAGCAAACAGGAUUAGAUACCCUGGUAGUCCACGCCGUAAACGAUGAGUGCUAGACGUCGGGGGGCAUGGCCCUUCGGUGUCGCAGCCAACGCGCUAAG
rnacentral:rRNA from 1 species